rnacentral:ncRNA from 1 species
GUUGGAGUUUUAAGUAAAAAAUGACAACGUACCUUUUGCAUAAUGGGUCAGCGAGUUAGUUUAUAGAGCAAGAUGAAUAAUCUAAGCGAAAGCGACUGUAAUAAGUGGAUCAAAAAUAGUUUUAUGAACUAGACCCGAAGCCAAAUGAUCUUACCAUGACCAGGCUAAAAAAGGGCCGAACAGGUGAAUGUUGCAAAAUUCUCUGAUGAGUUGUGGUAAGGGGUACUAGAAUUGAUCUUUUGCCCAGGUAAAUAGUGAUAUUUACUAUGCACCA